UAGGGAAUCUUCGGCAAUGGACGAAAGUCUGACCGAGCAACGCCGCGUGAGUGAAGAAGGUUUUCGGAUCGUAAAACUCUGUUGUUAGAGAAGAACAAGGACGUUAGUAACUGAACGUCCCCUGACGGUAUCUAUCCAGAAAGCCACGGCUAACUACGUGCCAGCAGCCGCGGUAAUACGUAGGUGGCAAGCGUUGUCCGGAUUUAUUGGGCGUAAAGCGAGCGCAGGCGGUUUCUUAAGUCUGAUGUGAAAGCCCCCGGCUCAACCGGGGAGGGUCAUUGGAAACUGGGAGACUUGAGUGCAGAAGAGGAGAGUGGAAUUCCAUGUGUAGCGGUGAAAUGCGUAGAUAUAUGGAGGAACACCAGUGGCGAAGGCGGCUCUCUGGUCUGUAACAGACGCUGAGGCUCGAAAGCGUGGGGAGCAAACAGG
rnacentral:rRNA from 1 species